rnacentral:rRNA from 1 species
GACGAACGCUGGCGGCGUGCUUAACACAUGCAAGUCGAACGGAAAGGCCCUGCUUUUGUGGGGUGCUCGAGUGGCGAACGGGUGAGUAACACGUGAGUAACCUGCCCUUGACUUUGGGAUAACUUCAGGAAACUGGGGCUAAUACCGGAUAGGAGCUCCUGCUGCAUGGUGGGGGUUGGAAAGUUUCGGCGGUUGGGGAUGGACUCGCGGCUUAUCAGCUUGUUGGUGGGGUAGUGGCUUACCAAGGCUUCGACGGGUAGCCGGCCUGAGAGGGUGACCGGCCACAUUGGGACUGAGAUACGGCCCAGACUCCUACGGGAGGCAGCAGUGGGGAAUAUUGCACCAUGGGCGGAAGCCUGAUGCAGCAACGCCGCGUGCGGGAUGACGGCCUUCGGGUUGUAAACCGCUUUCGCCUGUGACGAAGCGUGAGUGACGGUAAUGGGUAAAGAAGCACCGGCUAACUACGUG